rnacentral:misc_RNA from 1 species
CAAAUUCCUCCAACAGUUUUCUUAAUACCCAAAAAUAUUGCUUAAACGAACUUGUAGCUAUAAGCUGUGAUGGUACAGCUGUCAAUACUGGAUAUAAAAUUGGAGUAAAUGCACAAAUGGAACGUUAUUUACAAAGGCCCUUGCAGUGGAAUGUGUGUUUGUUACAUUUCAACGAGUUGCCUCUAAAAAAGUUGUUAACGCAUUAUAUUGGCAAGCAGAAAGGACCUGGUGUUUGGCCAGGGGUGUUGGGGUCUGAAAUUAUGACUUGCACCAAAUACCCGGUUGUAAGUGGUUUUGAGGCUAUUGCUAUGGGAGUUAUUCCUGAAAAUAUUGGCUCUUGGGAAUUACGCAAUGAUCAGCGUUAUUUAUUUGAUAUGGUUUUGGCAGUAAAUAAUGGUGAAUGCGAUGAAUAUCUCGCUAGUAAGAGCCCCGGUCCCGUCAGUACAGCUCGGUGGCUUACAACAGCUUCCAGGUUACUUCGGGUAUAUGUUUCCAAAGAAAGCCCGUCAGCGGAGUUGCGAAACAUGGUAGAGUUUGUUGUGAAAGUUUAUGCACCAUUCUGGUUUCUUGUAAAGAGCCAGCCACAAGCAAUUCAUGGAAGUAGACACGUUUUUAAGUAUAUUUGCUGGAUACGCGAACUAUCAAAUGCUGUUCAAGCCAUUAUACGUUCAGCUAUAGAAAAUAAUGCAUAUUAUUUUCACCCAGAAAAUAUAUUAUUAGCCAUGAUAACCGACGCUGAUCCAGAGAUACGUAAUGAUGGGUACGAAAAAAUCAAAACAGCACGUCAAUAUCCACCAGCAGGGCUUCGCGUGUUCAAGGUCCCAAAGCGUGGCGUAAUAAACUUUGAAAGUAAGUCGUAUGUCAGCAUGAUCGAUUGGAGUCAGUUUAAGAUUACGGAACCCCCCUUGUGUGCAGUUCUACCCAGAUAGUGAACUUACAAUGUUUCAAUUUUCGGAAAAUGAAGUGAUAAAUAUCCCAGAGUUCCUCUGUCAUUCCCAGAAUACCGAACGGUUUGUGCGUGUUGUUAGUGAGUCUGCAAGUGCUGUCACUGAUGAAAAGCGCCUGGGCCACAUUUUUGCAAAAUUAGAAAGCCGAGACCAAUAUAAAAGCCUUGA